UUCGACUCUCGGGACUUGGAGCGUUUCUUGGAGCGCUCCCUGUCUCGAGAUCGCGACC
ensembl:miRNA